CCUGGGUCCUCUCCUACACUGACGGGUCCUGAACUAGGACUGACGCUCAGACCUCGAGAGAGAACCUGAGGGCCAGGGGAGAAACCUCAGCUUCUCUUCAGGCCUUCAGGUGAUGAGAUGAGACCCACCCACUUACGGAGGCCGAUCUGCUUUACUCGGAAGCUACGGACUUACACGUUCAUCUCAUCUAAAAAAUACCUUCACGGCAGCACCCAGACUGGUGUUUGGCCAAACAGCUGGACACCAUAGCCAAGCCAAGUUAUGACGUGAAAUCAGCCAUCGGCCCACCUGGUCUCCAGGUGACAUGGCACCUGCUCUGGGAUCUCACGUCCUCCUGGACUCACCGAAUUCUACUUCUCAGGCGUUAAGUGGGUACUUACGAUCGAGGGCAAUGGCUUCCCCAUGAGCACGGAGUGUGUCUCAUUCACCAGCACCCAGCUCCUGGCACACAGUUCUCUAGGUUCUCAACAGAUAUUUCUGGAAUGAAUGGAUGACUGCUCCUGAGAUGUUUUCGGAGUUGAGAGGUCCAGGUGGAUUUCUGCUACUUCCUCCUUCUUUUACUCCAAGAAACUGGACUGAACCCCUAGCCUGAGUCUACAGCCCAUCUUCUGGUUGGCCUGGGGUGCCCCCCUCCUCUUCCUCCUCUGCCUAGCCAAGUCUGGCGGGUCCUCUGAGGUCGGCUCUGGCCCAGCUGCCCCAGCAAGUCCCCACCGCAGCCAGCCCCAACCACCCACCCCACCCCGACUGCCCCCUGUCUGUCCUCCUCUGCAGCUGUAGCAGGUGCAUGGCCAUAGGAGACACCAUUGGGUUGCGGGGUAAAGUGACUGCUCCAGACUCAGCUUUCAGGCUAGGCUGAGCGAACCAAGAGGGCCCAAUUGGAAGGUCCCACCUCUGGAUUUUCCACAAAGGGGAGA